rnacentral:rRNA from 1 species
UACGUAGGGCGCAAGCGUUGUCCGGAAUUAUUGGGCGUAAAGAGCUCGUAGGCGGUUUGUCGCGUCUGCUGUGAAAACCUAAGGCUCAACCUUGGGCUUGCAGUGGGUACGGGCAGACUAGAGUGCGGUAGGGGUGACUGGAAUUCCUGGUGUAGCGGUGGAAUGCGCAGAUAUCAGGAGGAACACCGGUGGCGAAGGCGGAUCUCUGGGCCUUACCUGACGCUGGAGGCGCGAAAGCUAGGGGAGCGAACAGG